GAAAUGCGAUAAGUAAUGUGAAUUGCAGAAUUCAGUGAAUCAUCGAAUCUUUGAACGCAUCUUGCGCUCCUUGGUAUUCCUUGGAGCAUGCCUGUUUGAGUAUCAUGAAAUCUUCAAAGUAAAUCUUCUGUUAACUCAAUUGGUUUCUACUUUGGUAUUGGAGGUCUUUGCAGCUUCACACCUGCUCCUCUUUGUUCAUUAGCUGGAUCUCAGUGUUAUGCUUGGUUCCACUCGGCGUGAUAAGUUAUCUAUCGCUGAGGACACUGUAAAAGGUGGCCAAGGUAAAUGCAGAUGAACCGCUUCUAAUAGUCCAUUGACUUGGACAAUACUUUUAUGAUCUGAUCUCAAAUCAGGUAGGACUACCCGCUGAACUUAAGC
rnacentral:misc_RNA from 1 species